rnacentral:rRNA from 1 species
UGGGAAUCUUCCGCAAUGGACGAAAGUCUGACGGAGCAACGCCGCGUGUAUGACGAAGGCCUUCGGGUUGUAAAGUACUGUCUUUGGGGACGAACGGCAGGUGUGAGAAUAUUGCACUUGCAUGACGGUACCCAAGGAGGAAGCCCCGGCUAACUACGUGCCAGCAGCCGCGGUAAUACGUAGGGGGCGAGCGUUGUCCGGAAUCAUUGGGCGUAAAGGGCGCGUAGGCGGGUCAUUAAGUCUGGUGUGAAAGGCAGGGGCUCAACCCCUGGAAGGCACGGAAACUGGUUAUCUUGAGGACAGGAGAGGAAAGCGGAAUUCCAACCGUGUAGCGGUGAAAUGCGUAGAUAUGUGGAGGAACACCAGUGGCGAAGGCGGCUUUCUGGACUGCAACUGACGCUGAGGCGCGAAAGCGUGGGGAGCAAACAGGAUUAGAUACCCUGGUAGUCCACGCCGUAAAC